rnacentral:lncRNA from 1 species
CGGGCUGCAGCCCCAACGCUUCCUGUUCGACGGAAAGAAACACAGCGAGGCAGCAGCAGCACGAAGCUGGGGGCACCCAGAGGACAGAGUUUGUGCCCCGCAGCCCCACGCUCACCCAGGAAACGUAACAGGUUGGAAAGCAAAGAUAAAGGACACGGUUGGGAAUUAGAGAGGGUAACUUCGGGCAGCGGCAGGAGGACGUAAGGUGUGCGCUCACCAAGAAGGCCUCGAAGCUUUGCUCAGCUCGGGGUGAGUAAUGGGCCGCGUGUGUCCUUCAGCCUUACCUUGGUUUACAGCAACUUCUGGUUAACCGAAGCGCUGCAAGGCGGCCUGAGGGAUGCCCAGGUGGGCGGUGGGGCCCCAGUGGGUGAGUGAGCCAUGGAUGGGAUCAGCGGGGUCAUUAUGGUAUGGAUAACAACACACGGAAAUAACCUGCUCGGCCUCUCAUAGCCCCAAUCCCCUUCUGCUGGAAGUGCAUUGUAAGAGCCACCCAAAAAGUGGAAACGCUCAGUAAACGUCGGGUAAAAUUAGAGAUGCUUCAGUAACUGUUGGAAGCUUCCCAGGAUGGGAUAUUCAGACAAACACAGCACAGGGAGCGCCGCCCAUCUCUCGGAAGCACCGGAUCGCCCCACUGCCCUGUGCUGCAGCAGUGCUGUGGUUUGCAGGCGCUUCCUCUGCCCUGUGCAGGAGCAGCAUGCUGGCUGGUGGCACACCCAGACCAAAGGAGAUGCUCAGUGCAGACUAACAAGCAUGGAAGUGUUAUACACAUAAA